CUCAAAACCCUAAUCCGAACCCCACUUCUCAGUCCUUAUAAAUAUAUCCCCAAACACAAACCCUAAUUGCACCAAUUGUUUCUACCAGCAAAUAAUUCAUCCCAACCAAUCUCAAAUCAAUAUGUUUUGAACCCGUGACUAGAAGGCAGAUGCAUUAUGGAAGUUAAUUUUUUGAUCUUUUUGUAACUCUGAAUAGAAUAGUUUUCUUUUUUAAGACAAUGAAUGAACAUCUUUUUAUCUAUCCAUAAUUUUGGUUUGAAUCUUAAUCUCAAAUAGAUUUUUCCCUUAAAAAUGAUUUACAUUGGGUUCCAUUGUUUUCCUCUUAAAAAUGAUAUUGAAAAAGCUACACUCAUUGCUUUUGCAAAAUCACACAUGCAUUUGGUGGCAUGUGUUUUACUAAAUUUGUUUGAAAAAUCAUGCCAUUUAGAUUUUUAUAUAGCAUAUGUUUUGUUUAGUCAUGAUUUAAUUUUAAAUAAAGAUAGUUUUUUGGCAUGAAAUGCAAGGAGAUAUGAUGAUAUUUAUCCAACGGUUCUGUUAUAGAUGAUGAAACAAACAUGCACUACCAUCUGAUCUUUUGCAAGUUUUUUUAAAGCAUUCAUAAGUCUCUAGAUUUCUUGAAUUAAGCCUUUUUUUCUCACUUUAUGUAUAUUUAUUUGCCUAUGGUAUCUGAUGUCCAGAAUUCGGACUUCUGUCUUGUCGCUGGACAUUUCGUUUUUACGGGCAUACAUUGAACUUUUACAGGUCUUGCGACACAGAGGUUUUCUACAAUAUUAGCCUACUGUUACUAAUUCCAUGUUUAUAUUUUUUACAUAUAUUUAUAAAAGAGAAGUUGUUCUCUUAACAUAUAUAGAUCUUGAAAUUGUCAUCUUUACAGCGAGCUAGUUAUUCAUACUUGACUUUCUCGUGUCUGAGGAUGACAAUAUCAUCUUCACAUCCAUUGAUGCCACGCUUUGUUUGCCAAGGAAACAAAAUUUCCUUGUUUACCUAGGUGUUGAUGGUACAUUUUCUUUACAAUGCCCACUUAGUUUUAUUAACUCAAUCUAGGAGUCAAAGUAGUUAGUUAUCAAAGUUUUUUGUUUUUCCACCUCUUGUAAACUAUCUACCCUUCUUGGAUUAUGUUGUGUCUGUGUUGAUACUUCAAAACUUGUAGUUGAGUUUGUUUGUAUUUUAUUUGUUGAAAAUUGUGAUUUAUGAUUGUGUAGGAGCCUUGAGUUUUUAGGAACAAUUGUUACAAUUAUAUUGUAAUUUGUUUUCUUUUGAUACAUGAGCAUUACCAUCUUCCGACUGCUUUGUUCAUUAGCUUUGAGGAGUUCAUUUUUAUAAUUGCUCUAAAUAAAUGUUUGAUGGAAUUAGUUAGGCUUCUUGCGCUGAUUGUAAAUGUGCUUGGAGUUUGGAUUAUUCCUACAUUUUGUGUUUUUCAAUUCUAUCAUUUGAGGUGUUUUUACUUUUUAACUUGUUUCCUUGAAAUUUAUUCUUUGAACAAAGUUUUUCACCGUAAUUUUUUGGUGAACAAAAUAUUGUAACUUGUUUUGUUUAGAUAUGAUCAUUAGGUUUGAGGAGUUCAUUUUGAUUAUGCUCUAAAUGAAUAUUUGUUGAAAUAGAUGAUGUUUUGUUAACAAGCAGGGAUAGUGUGUAUCGGUGUUUUGCUAUGAUCAAAUGCAUUCUUCCGAAAGUGUUCCCUAGCAAUAUUAAUUUUGGAAAAUGGGCAGUUGUGUUUCAUUUUAAAGUUGAAAAUCACAACAAUCAUUUUCCCUACAUUUACAACCCCCAUUUUGUUAAUCUUUUACAAAGUUGUUCUCUUAACAUUUAUAGAUAUUGUUUGUUUCACCCAUUUUGGGUUAAUGUUUUCAUAAUCUAAUUCAUAAAAUGAAAUUGAUUGUUCAGGUAUGAACUUUGAUUCUCUUCAUGUCCUGAGUCACGAUUCACUCAGAAGAUGCACAUUUUGCUGGUUUAGCAGUGUGUCAUGAUACGUGCACAUCCAAUUAUUAAUUGGAAUGAAGUGUGUAAUGAUUUGAUACUGGUUCAUCGUACCAGCUAUAUCAAGCCAUAUUAUCGAAUAUAUCGAGUUGGAUCUCUUGUGGGAUCUUUCUUUUCGCAAUUCGAUACUUUAUUUUCCCUCAAUUUUCUCAUUCUUUUUUAUUUGUCUUCAAUCAACCAUGUUUUUACUAUCUGUUGAUGUUUAAUAAGAGUAAGGUAAUGGAUUUUGAUAGUUUUUCAACAAAGGUUGCUGGUAAUGUAGUGUGGAAAUUUUCUUUUUCAGGUUUCUCUGCACUUCCCAUGACCAGCUACAUUUAGAGCUUCCAACCACCCCUACCCGGAUGAUUUCUUUUCUGUAUCUUAUCAUCCCUGUCAAGAUUGUCGGGAUGGUAAUGUGGAGAUCUUUUUCUUUUGGGUUUCUCUAAACCUCCCAUGACCAGCUACAUUAGAGCCUCCGAAUCCAAUCUUUCAGGUUUCUGUACCUUCCAUUUUCUGUUUUGCAUUUUGGUUUUUAAGUUUUUGGUUCUCUGAUAUAUACUUUACUGACUCCAGACUUAAGUCAUGUGUCCUUCUAUCAUACCAUGGUUGAUACAGUUACUAGUCUGGAAAAUUAACGAGUCCAUCGUUACAGAUGAAGUUUUAUUUGUGCUUGCAUCUGCUCCAUUUGGACUCUACAGUUCUAUGUCCUCAACUAUGUUCGCUUGUUGUUAUGGGUCUGUUUGGUUGGAAGAAAAGAAAUGGAAGGAAGGAAAAUACGGAAACUGAAGUGUAUGUGAAGUUUUCUAUAGCGAAGUAUAUUCUUAAAUGUGGGUCUCUCACUUUGGAUUAAGGUCCCAUAUAAAGUGAUGAGACCCACAUGACUCUCACUCAAUUAGAAAGUGAGAGUUAGAGAGAGUCUUGCUAGCAUUCCUUUCAUGUGUUUUAAGUAUUUUUGCUCAUUAUUUCUUGAAACAUACACUUACGAUCAAAUAGCACAAAUGCUACACAUUCAUUACUAUCAAUAGUUAGAAUCUUGAUAUAAUAUCUAAGUGAAAUUAUAUCAAUUAUUGAUAUUAUUGGUUGUACAAAAAGUUAUGCAGGAAACAUAAACAUUGAAAAUUAAAGAAAUAUAUAUUCCUAAAGAAAUAUAUAUUCCUAAUUCAUAAUAACAUGCUUGUUGCACUUUUCGCAGUAGUACAUUUUAAAGUUAAGGUAAACAGAUUUACUAUAAACACAUACAAUAUAUCCCAAUUUUCUGGGCUAGUAUACCAAUGCCAAAAACGAUCACAAUUAGUGGUAUGCUGUCUGCGUAUGCAGCAAACUUGUUUAUUUAAACUCCAAAAUAUAUUUCUUCGAAAAAUGCAACAAACAUAUAAUAUGAAUAUACUUUGUAGGUUAUUCAAAAAAGAAUUUACUUUGGAGGAAUACAGGUAUAUUUCUCUAUUUUUAUGUUUUAGUCACUGCACUAUAUUUUUUGAAUAAACAAUAAUCAUAGUAAUUGGUAUUUGUUUCAUUUAGAUUCUAUAUCAAAGGUUUGGGUUCUUGAUAACAUGUUGGUGCAAUUUUUGUGUUGUUUGAUUGCGAUGCAAGUAUUAUUUUAAUCCGAUCAUGUGCAGAAAUGGAUCGCAUGGUAAUAUUACUCUUGAAAAUGCUGGAAAACCACUCUUCACUCAUUCCAAUUCCGAUCUUAUUUUAUCUGUUAGUAUUAUUCGUGAUCUGUGUGAAGUAAUUUUGUAAAUUUUAAGUGGUAACAUUACAAACAAGACUUAUUAUCAAACAAUCUGUUGGUAUUUCUUCACUUUGUUUUUUUGUUUUUUGUUUUUAAUUCUGCUAUUGAAUUAUUUUAUUGGACAUUCGUUGAUAUAACUUUGUAAAUUCACAAAAAAUUGGAUGUGAUGAUAGUAAUUGUCGCCCCAGUCUUAAUUUGCACUUUUAAGUG